rnacentral:pre_miRNA from 1 species
GGCUUUCUGUAUCCGUUCUGAGAUUUCGUCACACACCAGAUCACAAGGGUUGAUGAGACCCCAAGGUAAAUGAAGCG